GGAACGCGUGGGAACGUACCCCAAAGUUCGGAAUAACUAUUGGAAACGAUAGCUAAUACCGGAUGUGACCGAGAGGUUAAAGGUUUACCGCUUUGGGAGCGGCCCGCGUUAGAUUAGCUAGUUGGUGGGGUAAAGGCCUACCAAGGCAAUGAUCUAUAGCUGGUCUGAGAGGAUGACCAGCCACACUGGGACUGAGACACGGCCCAGACUCCUACGGGAGGCAGCAGUGGGGAAUAUUGGACAAUGGGGGCAACCCUGAUCCAGCAAUGCCGCGUGAAUGAUGAAGGCCUUAGGGUUGUAAAGUUCUUUUAUUGAUGACGGUAAUGACGGUAAUCAAUGAAUAAGCACCGGCUAACUUCGUGCCAGCAGCCGCGGUAAUACGAAGGGUGCUAGCGUUGUUCGGAAUGACUGGGCGUAAAGGGUGCGUAGGCGGCCAGAAGCGUCUGAUGUGAAAUCCCUAGGCUUAACCUAGGAACUGCAUUGGAUACGGUCUGGCUAGAGUCCGCGAGAGGAAGAUGGAAUUGUGCGUGUAGAGGUGAAAUUCGUAGAUAUGCACAAGAACACCGGUGGCGAAGGCGAUCUUCUGGAGCGGUACUGACGCUAAGGCA
rnacentral:rRNA from 1 species